rnacentral:rRNA from 1 species
UACAGAGGGGGCGAGCGUUAUUCGGAAUUAUUGGGCGUAAAGGGCGCGUAGGCGGCCUUUCAAGUGACGGGUGAAAUCCCUCGGCUUAACCGAGGAACUGCCUGUCAGACUGGAAGGCUUGAGACCGGGAGAGGUGAGUGGAAUUCCCAGUGUAGCGGUGAAAUGCGCAGAUAUCAGGAGGAACACCGAUGGCGAAGGCAGGUCUCUGGGCCAUAACUGACGCUGAGAAGCGAAAGCAUGGGGAGCGAACAGG